rnacentral:tRNA from 1 species
GCCGACGUGGCACAACCUGGUACUGCGCGGGACUGGAAAUCCCGUUCCCUUCGGGGUAUCCCGGUUCAAAUCCGGGCGUCGGCG